UGGGGCCUGGGAGGCUGGCCUGAGGUCUGGCGGAGUGGGGUGACUGGGGCUGGCUGUGGCCAGGCAUUUUUGAGUCGAGAAUGGGAGAUCCAGGGCCCAAGCGGUAAGGGCUCAAAUAGGAGUCUCUUGAGGGGAGGCUCAGAGACUUGCUCCCCGGUUGUCCCAUCCCCACUUUCCUCCCUUCUCUGCUCUGUCAUGGCUCUUCCCUAUGUUGGCAUCUGACCUCGAGCCCCUACCCGUGCCUCUCACCAGCUGGUACCACCCUCUCUUCUGUGGCCCCGCGCUCAGUCUUCCGCCCCUGCUUUAUGCCUACCGAAGGAGGACACGGAACCCAUCUGCCUACAUCCCCCUUCCUUAGACCAAGCCUUAGCCCAUUGCGCAUGGGGAAACCCAGCCCAGGGCAGGAGGGGUCUGUGAGUGGCUGGGGCGGUGGGUGGACUGGAGAACUUUGAUGAUAUCUUCAUCUUCUCUUCCUGGAACCCCUCCUCUUCCCACCAUGCCCAGCUGUCCAGACCCUGGUGGCCCCUGGUACAAGGCUAGGAGGCCUCAGGGAAGGGGAGGGAACUGUCCCCUCCCAUGACAAACAAAAGCCCUUCUUUUGCUGUGUGUGUCUGUGUGUGUGUGUGGGGGGGGGGGGUUGGAAGAAGAAGGGGCUUUCCAGGGAAGGGCACAUAUGUCUCUGGGGACAAGGGGACCAUGCUGGAAAGGGGCAUAUUCACCUACAGCCCCAGGGCCCUGCACUUCUGCAGGACCCCCCGCUACCAAGGGCCCCAGCCAGCCCCCACCCUGCCCACGGAGGGCUUAGCUCACCCUCGAGUGGCACAGGAAUCCCAGGUACACGAUGGCAGCUGCUGGCAGAAGGGCCAGCAGGAACACGGUUGCAGGCAGCAGCAGGUGCAGCAGCAGUCCAGCCAGGGCCUGGCCAGGCAGCAGUAGGGUCCCAAGGCCUCGGACCACCAGGCCUACCCACCGUGGGGACAUCAAGACUGAGGCCUGGCCGUCAGGAACCCUUUCCGGCAGCAUGGGGGCUGUGUCCGAAGUGCUGCCUCCCUCAUCCUCCUCCAUUUCCUUCUCCUGUUCACUCAUGCUCUCGCAGGCAACAGGCCUGGUGUGUUCACGGAGGUAGUCAGACGGCAGGACUGAGGCCCCCAGCAUCAGCCCUAAGUCCCCAGGUCAGACUCCCACCCAGACACCAGCAACCAUAGCGGACCCAGCUGGAGGACAGCACCCCGGUCCAGGUAGGUCCAGCCCUGACCAUCAGUCUCCAAGGCCACACCCCUGCCUCAGUUUUCCCCAAUGCCAGGCUGGGCCUCUCUCUACCAGGCGACUACAGCUCCGGCUCUGGUCAGUGUCCCCAGCCAGCUCCUGUGUGUUCUGGGCAGGGCUUGCACAGCUGUCCUGGCACUGGGGCCCUCCUCCCUCCUGGUCCCGCCCUCUCCCUGCUUGGAGCUAUCCCCGCCCCCCCCCCCCCCCAGAUUUCAGUUCAUAGGUCUUGACUCUGACAACUGCCCCAUCAGUUACUGCUGUGUACAGGUGGCCACCCACACCGCUUCCCAGCCUUAGUCCCUGCUGGUUGUCCUCAUUGCCAAAUGAGGUUGGCCUCUCUCAGCCUCAGGAAAACAGGGAAAACACUGGGUGCCCACACCACAGGGCUGUGGAGGAGGCAUGUGGGCAAUGCAUGUAAAAAGGCGCUUGGUGUAGGACUCAGAACACAGUAGGUGCUCAAUAACAGCAUCCUUUGCGUUGGAGUCUCAUCCAUCCUGAAAACAGUGGGAGCACAUAUUCUGUUAUUUCAAUUGGGGGGAAGUAUUCCCAGCUCCUCCGUAAACCCCAACUAAUUUCCCCAAGUAUUAUUGAAAUGCUCUUAACUCCUAGCAGAGCAUUCAGCAUAUUAAACCCCACUUAUGUAACUAGCUGAUGUCUAACUGACGAGUAGGUUACCUGUGAGCCCAACGAACAAGGUGUGCAGCCUCAGACGCGAACAUUUCCCUUUCACACCUUCUCCCACCGUUGGCUUCAUCACGUCCAACGUUUCUUCUAACAUUUUCCAGCGCAUACACUCCCUUCGGACACAUGCGGACAGGGGAAGACGGCAGCGAUUGGGCACCGCAGGUUUAAGGAAUGCAAGCCUGAGACAUGUCCCUGUGAGAAGGCUGCUUGAGGUUCCCUGCAGCGCGUGCCAAGCCCUGUUGCCCAACACGCAUGCGAUUUCGUUGUUUUCACUGGCACACACAGACCAAAACCUUACAGUAGCUGUUUUUUUAUUCAGAUAAUGAAUUUAGGGUAAAAAAUGUUGCAAGUGAUAAUGUUCAGAUGCAGAGUUCGGGUGGAGAGGGUACCUGCCUAAUCUCUUAAGCUCCGUCCUUUGCUCGGGUCCCUCUUGCAGUCAUUCGUUCACGCAGUAAAAACUCAACACUGGCUGAGCUCCCUCAGUGUACCAGGACUGCCCUAGGCUCUGCCGACGCGAUGGUAAAGGCCAAUGUGGGCCUCUGCUCUGUAGGGACGGCUCUGUGUGGGGCCCUGACGAGCCUGCACGAGUUCACAGCUGAAUGAGCUGCAGUGCUCCGGACGGACCGGACGGUGGCAGAAGCCGGGAGGACCAGCCUCGCCGCUGGCUCCCACUGACUCCUGCCUUUGGGAAGGCAGUUUCUAGGCUCAUCUGGCUCUCAGGAGGUGGUAAACUGUCCUCAUCCACCCGGAGCAUGUUGCUUCCUUACUGGCUGAAUCUGUCAGCCUGUGUGAUGUGCCCAAACGGAGACUUCAUUCUAGAAGAGGAAGGAAAACAUUUAAAAUGAAGUUAACACCUAUUUUUGUGGAGCGGUGGCCUCGGACAGGGAUCGGGGAUGGUAAG